rnacentral:rRNA from 1 species
AUACGGAGGAUGCGAGCGUUAUCCGGAUUUAUUGGGUUUAAAGGGUGCGUAGGCGGCCUUGUAAGUCAGCGGUGAAAGCCCGGGGCUCAACCCCGGAAGUGCCGUUGAUACUGCAUGGCUGGAAUGCGGUCGAGGCGGGCGGGACGGGGCGGGUAGCGGGGAAAUGCGUAGUUAUGCCACAGAAAGCCGAUAGCGGAGGCAGCUCGCCAGGCCUGCAUUGACGCUCGGGCACGAAGGCGUGGGGAUCGAACAGGAUUAGAUACCCUGGUAGUCCACGCCGUAAACGAUGGGCGCUCGUCGUCGGCGGCAGACAGUCGGCGGCCAAGCGAAAGCGAUAAGCGCCCCACCUGGGGAGUACGGUCGCAAGGCUGAAACUCAAAGGAAUUGGCGGGG